CCCGCUGAACUUAAGCAUAUCAAUAAGCGGAGGAAAAGAAACUAACAAGGAUUCCCCUAGUAACUGCGAGUGAAGCGGGAAAAGCUCAAAUUUAAAAUCUGGCGGUCUUUGGCCGUCCGAGUUGUAAUCUAGAGAAGUAAUGCCCGUGCUGGACCGUGUAUAAGUCUCCUGGGAUGGGGCGUCAUAGAGGGUGAGAAUCCCGUCUUUGACACGGACUACCAGUGCAUUGUGGUAUGCUCUCGAAGAGUCGAGUUGUUUGGGAAUGCAGCUCAAAAUGGGUGGUAAAUUCCAUCUAAAGCUAAAUACUGGCGAGAGACCGAUAGCGAACAAGUACCGUGAGGGAAAGAUGAAAAGCACUUUGGAAAGAGAGUUAAACAGUACGUGAAAUUGUUGAAAGGGAAACGUUUGAAGUCAGUCGCGUUGGCCGGGACUCAGCCUUGCUAUCUUGCUUGGUGCACUUCUCGGUCGACGGGUCAGCAUCAAUUUUGACCGUCGGAUAAAGGCCGAGGGAACGUGGCAUCCUCCGGGGUGUGUUAUAGCCCUUGGUUCGCAUACGGCGAUCGGGAUUGAGGAACUCAGUGCGCCUUCAUUGGUCGGGGCUUCGCGGCUCACGUUAACGCGCUUAGGAUGCUGGCAUAAUGGCUUUAAGCGACCCGUCUUGAAACACGG
rnacentral:rRNA from 1 species